rnacentral:lncRNA from 1 species
GAAUAUGAAAAAUAUAGAGGAUUAUAUAUAACUUGGGAUAAGAUCUUAAGAGAACCCAAAUAAUCCAGAAAACCAGAGAACCCAAAUAUAGAGGUUAUGUCGUAUGCUUAUCUGCAUCCCUGUUUGUUCUGGAGUUCAUUUUUUCCUUGUGUUGGAUGUUGGUGUGUAAGGGGUGUAAUCUUUAGAAGGGUUGUUGUUCAAUGUUCUGUAUUAUGGGGCCGGGAGAUUAAGUAUGGUUGGAUGGUGGUGUUUGUUUGAGAUGUGUUGGAUUUAUGUGUUAGACCUGUGAUAGGUAUUGUUUUUCUGGCCGGGAUCGGCAGUUUUGGAUGAUUUUCUGGUGCUGCAAUGUUUUUAUUUGGAUGCGCCCAAGCUUAUAAUGGUGGCUCACAAACUUACACACCCUAACUGAUCUUGCAAAGAAACAACAAUAAACAUUGUGAUCUAUAAACAUACAUCAUAUAUUUGAAGGGAAACAGGAAGGGGAUCUCGGUUAUUGCUUUUCUCCGGUGGAAAUUUCGUAUUUUUAUUUACUAAUAGGUUAAUUGUUGUUCCUUUUUGAGUGUGUUUUUGGAUAGAUUGUUUGGAGAGAGGUUUUCUCUUUGUAUAUUUCGCUUUUUCUCAUAUAAUAUUCUUACUAGGUGCAUAGUUUAUAUCUUUAAAAAAACACCUACUCGAAUCUAA